rnacentral:rRNA from 2 species
AGUCUGACGGAGCAACGCCGCGUGAGUGACGAAGGUUUUCGGAUCGUAAAACUCUGUUGUGAGGGAAGAACACGUACCACCUAACUACUGGUACCUUGACGGUACCUCACCAGAAAGCCACGGCUAACUACGUGCCAGCAGCCGCGGUAAUACGUAGGUGGCAAGCGUUGUCCGGAAUUAUUGGGCGUAAAGCGCGCGCAGGCGGUCCCUUAAGUCUGAUGUGAAAGCCCACGGCUCAACCGUGGAGGGUCAUUGGAAACUGGGGGACUUGAGUGCAGAAGAGGAAAGUGGAAUUCCACGUGUAGCGGUGAAAUGCGUAGAGAUGUGGAGGAACACCAGUGGCGAAGGCGACUUUCUGGUCUGUAACUGACGCUGAGGCGCGAAAGCGUGGGGAGCAAACAGGAUUAGAUACCCUGGUAGUCCACGCCGUAAACGAUGAGUGCUAAGUGUUAGGGGGUUUCCGCCCCUUAGUGCUGCAGCUAACGCAUUAAGCACUCCGCCUGGG